UAAGCUUUUAUUAUUUUUUUCAGAUAUUAAACAGCCAAGUAUAUCUUUUUUGAAAGAUAUUUGUUACUGGUGAUAUGUUGUUCUGAUGUGAUAUACUUACAGCUUUUAGUUUGAUAUUUAGUUAAUAUUUUAAAGAAAAAAAUGUCUGAUGUUUUAAAAGACAGAGAGACAUUGUAUAAACUUAUAAUAAGUCAAUUGCGAUAUGAUGGGCUGGAUUUGGUGGCUUCCAGUUUAGCUCGAUGUGUUGGUCUCGAGGAUUUGCCACUUGCACCAUCAUCUAGGCUUCUAGAAUUAGUUAAGUUUGGUUUACUUGAAGAAAAAGCAGGAAGGGAGCCUGAGUUGGAUGUAGUACCAGGUCUUACUCCUAGAGUGCAACCAGAAGCAACAGGACUUGACACCAAUGUAAAACUGGGGCUUGAUUUGGAGUAUGAAAGAGAUGAUCGCUACACCGGUGGUGGAGAAGAGACAAUGAAUAACCUUGGGCUUCUUUCUGAUGUUUCUUUAAUAGAUAGUUUAAGAGACAGCAAUGCCUCAACUACUAGUCAUUCAUCUUUAUAUACUAAUAAGUAUACAUGUGAAAGCAAACUUGAUUUUUUUUGUAAUUUAAACCUAAUUCCAACGCCAUUAGUUAAAGACUGCCCAAAUACAACACGUAAUUGGUUAAAGAUGUCCGAAAAAUGUUCUAUGGUAUCAGAUGUUAGUAUAAAUAACAUUUGUGAUUUUGAUUUUCAAAAAAGGAGAAUAAGUUUUGCAGAUUUAAAUAUCAAACAUGAAGGCACUCAAUGUUUAGAAAUGAAAUUAACUCCAGCCAGCAGUGAAACAGAUUUUAGAGAGACUGAUUUCGAUUGUCUUUUACACGAAUCUAUUUUAUCUCCUGGCUUAUGUCCAAGUAUUGUUCCUAAAAAUGUGUUAGAAAAUGACAAACUAUUAGAAACUUUUGAGUCAGCAAAAUAUAUAACUCACGAAAAGUUUCUAAAUCCAUCUUUUAAACCGCUUCAAGAUAAUUUAACAAUUUUGUAUAAACCAACUUUGCAAGUUAGUAAUCAAUCAGGUUUAACUGAAAAAAAGUAUAAAGCUGAUGUUUCAAGGUCAGGGAAAUAUUCAAACUUGUAUGAGUUAGUUCUUAAAGAAAUUUCAUUGCAUGCUAUUAAUCAAACAAUUUUUUCAAAAACUGUCAUUAAUAAAACGCAAGGCUAUUUGUCAGAUAUUUUACGAUCAAAAACAAAUAAAUCUUUGGCAAAGGUAGAAAGUCAUCUUUCUCAAAUUAAAAGGUUUUUAAAGAAACCAGCUUCUGAACGGCGAAAACUUUAUCAAGAAUGCAUAAAAAAUAAAACAGAAAGUGCUACAGUUCAACCCUUAAAAAAAAUGAAAAGAACUUUGUUACUUAAAUCAGAUAAAGAAUUAUUAAUAAAAUUCUACAACGAGAAAAAAGGACUGAUUAAAAAGAAUGACCUUGAACAAAUCGGUUCCACUCUUAGCAUAUCUGCAGAAAGUGUAAAAGUAUUUUAUAAAAAUAUGAAACAACGUAAUGUCCAUUUAUAGAAACAGAUUAACACGGAACCAGCCCUCCUGUCAGUCAGUAUGAAACACAUUAUGUUACUGCACAUAAAGGUCCGGUGACUUCAGCAGCAUUUACUCCUGAUGGGCGUUUAUGUGCAACUGGAUCUGUUGACACAUCAAUAAAAGUGCGU